GUGAACGCUGGCGGUAGGCCUAACACAUGCAAGUCGAACGGCAGCACAGUAAGAGCUUGCUCUUACGGGUGGCGAGUGGCGGACGGGUGAGGAAUACAUCGGAAUCUACUUUUUCGUGGGGGAUAACGUAGGGAAACUUACGCUAAUACCGCAUACGACCUACGGGUGAAAGCAGGGGAUCUUCGGACCUUGCGCGAUUGAAUGAGCCGAUGUCGGAUUAGCUAGUUGGCGGGGUAAAGGCCCACCAAGGCGACGAUCCGUAGCUGGUCUGAGAGGAUGAUCAGCCACACUGGAACUGAGACACGGUCCAGACUCCUACGGGAGGCAGCAGUGGGGAAUAUUGGACAAUGGGCGCAAGCCUGAUCCAGCCAUACCGCGUGGGUGAAGAAGGCCUUCGGGUUGUAAAGCCCUUUUGUUGGGAAAGAAAAGCAGCAGGUUAAUACCCCGCUGUUCUGACGGUACCCAAGGAAUAAGCACCGGCUAACUUCGUG
rnacentral:rRNA from 1 species